rnacentral:rRNA from 1 species
GACGAACGCUGGCGGCGUGCCUAACACAUGCAAGUCGAGCGAGAUCCAACCGGUAGCAAUACCGGUGAAGAUCGAGCGGCGAACGGGUGAGUAACACGUGAGAAACCUGCCCCGAAGACCGGGAUAACCCGAGGAAACUCGGGCUAAUACCGGAUACCCCCACCAGGUCACAUGUCCAGGUGAGGAAAUGCUCCGGCGCUUUGGGAGGGUCUCGCGGCCUAUCAGCUAGUUGGUGAGGUAACGGCUCACCAAGGCAUCGACGGGUAGCUGGUCUGAGAGGACGAUCAGCCACACUGGGACUGAGACACGGCCCAGACUCCUACGGGAGGCAGCAGUGGGGAAUCUUGCGCAAUGGGCGAAAGCCUGACGCAGCAACGCCGCGUGGGGGAUGAAGGCUCUCGGGUCGUAAACCCCUUUCAGGAGGGACGAAAAUGACGGUACCUCCAGAAGAAGCCCCGGCCAACUACG